AUCGGUCGUUGGCGGCGUGCUUUACCAUGCAGUCGAACGAACCUUCGGGUUAGUGGCGGACGGGUGAGUAACGCGUGGGAAUCUGCCCUCAGGAGGGGGAUAACGGCUGGAAACGGCCGCUAAUACCCCAUAUGCCGAGAGGUGAAAUGAAUUUCGCCUGAGGAUGAGCCCGCGUCUGAUUAGCUAGUUGGUGAGGUAAGAGCUCACCAAGGCAUCGAUCAGUAGCUGGUCUGAGAGGAUGAUCAGCCACACUGGGACUGAGACACGGCCCAGACUCCUACGGGAGGCAGCAGUGGGGAAUUUUCCGCAAUGGGCGAAAGCCUGACGGAGCAACGCCGCGUGAGGGAUGAAGGCCUCUGGGCUGUAAACCUCUUUUCUCAAGGAAGAAGAUCUGACGGUACUUGAGGAAUAAGCCACGGCUAAUUCCGUGCCAGCAGCCGCGGUAAUACGGGAGUGGCAAGCGUUAUCCGGAAUUAUUGGGCGUAAAGCGUCCGCAGGCGGUCCAGAAAGUCUGCUGUUAAAAAGUGGAGCUUAACUCCAUCAUGGCAGUGGAAACUACUGGACUAGAGUGUGGUAGGGGCAGAGGGAAUUCCCGGUGUAGCGGUGAAAUGCGUAGAUAUCGGGAAGAACACCAGUGGCGAAGGCGCUCUGCUGGGCCAUAACUGACGCUCAUGGACGAAAGCCAGGGGAGCGAAAGGGAUUAGAUACCCCUGUAGUCCUGGCCGUAAACGAUGAACACUAGGUGUCGGGGGAAUCGACCCCCUCGGUGUCGUAGCCAACGCGUUAAGUGUUCCGCCUGGGGAGUACGCACGCAAGUGUGAAACUCAGAGGAAUUGACGGGGGCCCGCACAAGCGGUGGAGUAUGUGGUUUAAUUCGAUGCAACGCGAAGAACCUUACCAGGGCUUGACAUCCUGCGAAUCUCCUGGAAACGGGAGAGUGCUCUUCGGGAACGCAGUGACAGGUGGUGCAUGGCCUGUCGUCAGCUCGUGUCGUGAGAUGUUGGGUUAAGUUCCCGCAACGAGCGCAACCCACGUCUUAGUUGCCAGCAUUCAGUUGGGCACUCUAGAGAGACCGCCUGGUGAUAAACCGGAGGAGGUGUUGAUGACGUCAAGUUCAUCAUGCCCCUUACCAUCCGGGG
rnacentral:rRNA from 1 species